CCUACGGGGGACAGCAGUGAGGAAUAUUGGUCAAUGGUCGGGAGACUGAACCAGCCAAGCCGCGUGAGGGAUGAAGGUACAGCGUAUCGUAAACCUCUUUUGUCAGGGAACAAAGGCGGGGACGUGUCCCCGGAUGAGUGUACCUGACGAACAAGCAUCGGCUAACUCCGUGCCAGCAGCCGGGGUAAUACGGAGGAUGCGAGCGUUAUCCGGAUUUAUGGGGUUUAAAGGGUGCGCAGGCGGUCUGUUAAGUCAGCGGUCAAAGCCCGGGGCACAACCCCGGCCCGCCGUUGAAACUGGCAGUCUCGAGUUGGAGAGAAGUAUGCGGAAUGCGCGGUGUAGCGGUGAAAUGCAUAGAUAUCGCGCAGAACUCCGAUUGCGAAGGCAGCAUGCCGGAUCCACACUGACGCUGAGGCACGAAAGCGUGGGUAUCGAACAGGAUUAGAUACCCUUGUAGUC
rnacentral:rRNA from 1 species